rnacentral:rRNA from 1 species
NNCCCGGUGAACCAUCGAGUCUUUGAACGCAAGUUGCGCCUGAAGCCAUCAGGCCGAGGGCACGCCUGCCUGGGCGUCACGCAUCGCGUCGACCACCCUCCACCUGCAUGGGGGUACGGAAAUUGGCCUCCCGUGAGCAUGUUAACAUGCGCNCGGCCC